rnacentral:rRNA from 1 species
UACGUAGGGGGCGAGCGUUGUCCGGAUUUAUUGGGCGUAAAGAGCUCGUAGGCGGUUGCGGAAGUCGGAUGUGAAAGACCGGGGCUCAACUCCGGGACGUCAUUCGAUACUCCGCUGACUUGAGUCCGGUAGGGGAAGGUGGAAUUCCUGGUGUAGCGGUGAAAUGCACAGAUAUCAGGAGGAACACCGGUGGCGAAGGCGGCCUUCUGGGCCGGUACUGACGCUGAGGAGCGAAAGCUAGGGGAGCGAACAGG